CCAUACUAAGUAUGAGGGUGUGCAGCAAUAGGGGCUAUAGGUGGGAGGGUAAAUUGCCUUAAUAAGUUUGGAAAAUGUUUGACAAUGUCUUAAAGUUCAACGUAUAUAUAACCCUCAACUUAGCAAUUCCACCUCUAACCAAAUAUCAAACAGUGAUGUGUACACAUAUUUAUCAAAAGACAUACAGAAUAUUCUUAGAGUUAUUCAUAAUACUUUCAUAUUGAAAACAGCUCCAAUUUCCAUGAUCAGAACAGUUACUUGGAAAGGGCUGCUCCCUGUAGCAAGGAAGUGAGCUUUUUCUUCAUGUAAUAGUUUGAAGGAACCUUACACGCAUCCUGAACAAAAGGAACAAGGCAACAAAAAAAGAAAAUGUGCUACUUGACUUCCUCUUAAGUAAGAAAUCAAAAACACCUCUGGGAAGAAUGAAAUAGGGAAAUACAUUCACAAGGAGGGCGAUGUUAUGAUGUGCUAGUAAUGUUCUUUCUUGACCAGAAUGGUGAUGAUCUUGUAAUAUUUUUUGAGCUCUACUUUUGUGGCUUAUGCAUUUCAAAUAUUUGUCUUACACCUCCACAGUUAAAGUUUUUGUUUCUUAAUGAGUAAAGCUAAAUCAGAAUGAUGCUGGUAGAACAGACAGUUGUGCAAUGUGAGAGAAUAGCAAUCUCCUGAAGCUUUUAGGAGAAAAGGCCUUCAUUCUUCCCAUGCAUAGAUGGCAAGGAGGGUUGGAAAAUACCAGCUCUACUCUGCACUGUGGUGCAACAGGGCAUUAUAAUGACAAGGAGGCAGGAAAAGAGAAAUGCUAAAUUAAAAUUUGAAUGAGAAGCAAUAAACAAUCUUGGCACUAAAAUCUAAUCCAUUAUGAAUAGUGAAUGUUAAAUUGCUUUUUGGAAUCCAGUGGGUUCUCAUGAGCCCACAAAGGGGAAGUGAAAGGGAUUAUCCCUCAUCACCUAGAUCAGAACUGCCUUCAUCACUGUACAUAUUGUGCUAUUAAUAAGCUUUCCUUGAAGGAAUUCUGCAGCUUAACAAUAAAAGGCACCAGAGCAAAUGAUAAGCUUAAUAAAGCAACCUGGGUUGAAUACAGAGUGUAACCCUCACCCUCCACCACAGGGCUGCUAUGUAAUGAAGACAUGGAAGGGAUACUGGUGAGUCAAACACAAUGUUUAAAACUGCUUCUUAGUAGCUAAAUUUAUUGAGCCCUUACUGUUUAUUUACCAGGUACUGGCUAGUUGUUUUACAUACAUCUCAAAGCCCUCUGAGCAUUUGACUGGGCACCAACAUGGUGGCAUUGGAUAAAAGAAAAUGCCCCAGCAGUAAGUACACUGGUGGGAACCCCUAUCCCACCCCUACCCCCAGCCCACCCCACCUGCAACCUGCUGGCAACUGAAACUUCCAAGAAAGUGCUCCCUCUAUCUGUGAGUUGGAAAAACAUCACUACAAGCCCUGUACCAUGAGGCUUCCAGAGAUUUGUGCUUACCAGAAAUCAACCAAGAUUCUCAUUUGGAAGCUGCCUUUCAGAGGCUGGUGAGAGAGAUUACCCAGGAUUUCAAAACUGACUUGAGGUUUCAGAGUGCAGCCAUUGGGGUCUUCAGGAGCCUAGUGAAUAAAGCCUUGUGGCUUUAUUUGGAGAUACUAAUCUGUGUGCCAUCCACACCACGAGAGUCACCUUCAUGCCCAAAGACAUCCAGUUGGCUCACUGGAUACGGGGAGAGAAAGCUUAAGUAAAGACAAUUUUUAUGGAAUUUUGUAUGUAGUAAAUUCUGUAAAAUACUUUGGUUUAAUUGGUGACUUUUUGUAAGAAAUUGUUUAUAAUAUGUUAUAUUUGUACUGAAGUCAUUCUGUCUUUCUCUUGGAUGAAUGGGGAGAGUGACUGUUCCAGACCUCGGUGAUGUGAGCACUGUUGCUCAGGAGUGACAAGGUGCUAAUCUGCAGAAGGAUGGUUGACAGUUCUUGCUUCUCAUGAUGCAUGUUUCUGUAUGUUAAUGACUUGUUGGGUAGCUAUUAAGGUAGUAGAACUGAUAAAUGUGUGUACAGGGUUCUUCUGCAAUAAAACACGUUAUGAUUUGAUCCAAGUGUUUAACAACUGGGGCUGGUAAGUCUCACCAUACAUUACUGUGAGGGAAUGUGGACUGCUUCAAGGGUGAACAUACAAGUCUUAACCAUGGUGUAACUUUCCUAGGAAAAGGUAAUCUUGGCAGCUGUAAGAAUAUACCAUAUGCAUUUAUAGUAACUAUUCUAUAUAUGGUCAUGUCAACAUUUUUAAAUGUUUUACAUUCGCUAAUGAAAACAAAAAGAAACACACACACACCAAUUGAAUGUUAUGCAACAACAGAUCCUUCCAAAACUAUGGGAUACCAUGGGAAUAAUGCUGACUGUUUAGUGAAAGCAAGCAGUAUACCAAAUCACAUAUAGUGGUUGAAAAUUUGUUUAAGCCAGAGUGAGUUUGAAAAAGAAGCCAUAUGUGUAUUUGCUUUUUAAACCCAUGUCUUUUUAUUAGCCUGAUUUUUUAAAUUGAUUUUUAUUUUAUGAUUUUGUUGUUUUCUGCAGUCCUAGUACUGCCUGAUUUACAAUCCACAUACAAAUCAUUAACAUUUAAAUGAUAGGUAAUGUUAAUAAUAGGUGAAGUAUUAAAAUUUUUACCCUUUAAAGUAUUGCUGGAGAGAUGAUUUUAUUCCAUUGCAUGACCUCUUGAGAGAGUGAAGUGGGAGGAGAAGAUGAGAGAAGGAUAACUGAGAGGAAGUGAAAGCAACAUAAGAUGGCCGGAUGAGGAUGACUCUGGGGUCAACACACUGCUUCUUUUUUUUAACCUUGUUUUUACAAGUCUAUUCAACACAAAAUAUUGAGCAACUAUGUACAGUAUGUCAAAGACACAAUAAUGAGAAGUUAAAAAUAGCUUCCGAUCUUUAUGUAGCUUAAUAUAGUGUACUUUGGAGAAACAGUGUGUUGGAGAGAGUGGGUCAGCUUCCACUUGAGUGAGGCAGGCUGGCUCCUCCUAUACUUGUCAGUUUUAAAGAAUUCACCAAAAUGAAAGAAUACCACUUUUACUAUCAACCUUAAUUUUCCCGUACCUAAUUCUUUUUAUGUAAGAUUCAGUAAUCGACGACUUUUCAGUACUGGGGAUUGGCCUCAGAGGUCCAUGCAUGUUAGGCAAGCAAGCACUCUACCACUGAACUAUAUCCUCGGCUGUUUUAAAGUUUUAUUUUGAGAUGAUCUCACUAAGUUGCCCAAGUUGGACUCAAACUUGUGAUCCUCCUGCCUCAGCCUCCCAAGUAGCCAGGCUUACAGGCAUACACCACCAUGCCCAGUAAGAUUCCGUAAACUGACAAAUGCAUUCAUUCAUGAAACCCACUGUUGGAGACUAUUUCAUAGGUCCCUGUUUCUGACUGUGUUACAAACAAAGUUAAAAAUCUCUUCAAAGAUGUUUAAUAAGGCACAGUCUAGAAAGACAGGAUUUCUUAGAGCAAAAGGUAUACUGUUCAGUAUAAUCAAGAUAAUUUCUCCCUGUAGGGCAAAGAGCAUGCAGACCUACUGCCCUUUAUAAAAGAUUUAGAUUCUUGUGCCAGGAAUGGUGACACAUGCAUGUAAUCCCAGUGCUCUGGGAGACAGGCAGGGAGAGUGAGAGCUCCAUGGCAACUCAGUGAAACUCUGGCUCAAAUUUAAUAACUAAUAAAAUUUUGUUAUAGUUUAAAACAUGAAUUAGCCUUGGCACUUUAAUUUUAAAUGUUAUGUCCAUGGUUGUAUUUAAAAAUCAGACACUUGGUCGGGGGGAUAAUACCAGCAUAUUGCUGAUAGACAGUAGGCAUCAUUUAUGGUCAGAAGUCUUUGAACCUCUGUUUUUCAUUUUUGAUUAAUCAAAGCAUUCUUGGCAAAGGAAAAAAUUGGACACAUACUAUUUCAUGGGAUGAAGUGUUACCUGAUUCUAGAAUGUAAAAUAAAGGCAAUUAAGAUCAUUUUUUAAAAAAAGAAUUAGGGUGAUUUGAAACUCUCGUGUGAAAUCAGAGAUUCAUGUAAUCACUAGUAUCAGAAAGAUAUUUUAGGACAAAACUAAAAGAGC
rnacentral:lncRNA from 1 species